GCAGCCGCGGUAAUACGGAGGAUGCGAGCGUUAUCCGGAUUUAUUGGGUUUAAAGGGAGCGUAGACGGGAUGUUAAGUCAGUUGUGAAAGGCUGCGGCUCAACCGCAGCACUGCAGUUGAUACUGGCGUCCUUGAGUGCGGUUGAGGUAUGUGGAAUUCGUGGUGUAGCGGUGAAAUGCUUAGAUAUCACGAAGAACUCCGAUUGCGAAGGCAGCAUACUAAGCCGCUACUGACGUUGAGGCUCGAAAGUGUGGGUAUCAAACAGGAUUAGAUACCCC
rnacentral:rRNA from 1 species